CUAGCAACUGGAAAAGCAAGCUGAAUUACGUUAUCAUGUACAUUAGAAAGAUUUAUGCUAUAUACAUACAAUAAAAAAUAUUACAAGUAAUGCUGAAUAGCAAAAGGUAUGAAGCUUUUCUUAAACCGUUAUGUUCGGCAUUUAAGUUGUAAUUAGUUAUCGGUUCGAUCAUCUCUCUUCAGUAAGAGUUAGUUAAAAAGUUUAUGAUUUAUAAUAGGGAGUUUACGAUCUGCGACGCGGCCAGCUCAACGACGCGGUCUAAAUUUUAGCUCAAGAAUGAGCGCUAAGCAAUUCGACUGAUUACUGUAAUAAAUAUUUGACUCUUUCAAAUAGCCUUACAAAAUGCUACGUUCGGCUAAAGCGAUGCAAUGUUUGCUGUAAUUUUGACUUUUAGUAACACCUCUUGUGUCGCAUUAAGCUUUCGCGUUGCCUGAAAGACGUACGUAAUAUUUUUAACGUUGUGUUGAGAAUGACAACGCGGUUGACAAUACUCAUGGGAUCACAAAUUAUUGACAGUUUUUGUCUUGCAUGACAAAUUUCUUUGUAAGUUUUUUGUGCGUUUGCAUGGCGAUAAAAACACAUAAUACUAUUGUUUGUGGAAACACCAAAUUUCUUUGUUUUGAAAGCGCGUCGUCGAGGCGGCCGCGUCGUAGAUCGUAAACUCCCUAAUAGUUAAUCUACGUUGCCGCAAAGUUCGAAAUCGUAUAUAGACAGUCGGACCCUCCCGAGAUAGUAGCAAUUACUCUGCGCCCUACGCCAAAAUUCCGUGGUUAACGUUUGUCAUGAGUUGAAAUAACGAGUAUCUCAAGAGCGUUGAGUAUAAGAUUUAAAGUGCGUAUGCAAUGAAAUUUUUACCUCAUUUUUUAUUGUUUUUCUAAAAUGUACUGCUGGAAUGAUGAGGAAUGACGUUUACAGUUUCUUUAUAUCUCAUCUCAUUCUCAAGUCGCACUUUCUAUAUUUUGAGUUGUGACGUCAUUAGUGUGACUUGAGAUAGUGGCAAUAACAAGAAAGUCUGAUAUCUUGGUGACCGUUUGGUAAAGUUCAAAGUGACUUGGUACACUGAAAGCCCCGUUUACACUACGCUCAAUUUUUGGUACGGCACGGAUAAAAUUGAUACCCGUACCACUUUUUUGGUUCUUGGACUACCUAUUUAGGUAGUCCAAGAACCAAAAAGUGGUACGGUACCAAAAAUUAAGCGUAGUGUAAUUAAACGGGGAUUAGCUAAAUAGGUAGUCAAAGAACCAAAAAAGUGGUACGGGUACCAAUUUUAUCCGUGCCAUACCAAAAAUUGAGCGUAGUAUAAACGGGGCUUUAGUGGGUGCAACGAAGCCAACAAUUUGGCUUGUUUAUAUGAUUGUAAUGGCAACACACUCGUCCCCAGUCCCUUCUCUUCUAAUUUUUAUUUGAUCCAUUUCCAACGAAAUAAAUAACAAUUUCUGCAAUUUUCGCCUUUUACUAUAAUACUUUUAGGUACUGUGAUCAGUUUAAACCGUUAUAACAUGCAAACAUCCUCUGCAAGAGGUCUACAGGAGGUAAUUUGUGAAAAGGAAGAGAAGAGACUGGGGACUAGUAUGUUGCCAUGACAACCACAUGACCAGCCAAAAAUAUUCAUACGGGUGCACCUACUAAGUGUACCAAGUUUCAUUGUAUUUUAUUAAACGGCACGUAUCAUUUCUUGUUAUUGCCAUGCAUUAUCUCAAGUGACACUAAUGACGUCACAACUCAAAAUAUAGAAAGUGCGAUAACUUGGGAAUGAGAUGAGAUAUGAAGAAACUGUAAACGUCAUUCUUCAUUAUUCCAGCAGUACUUUUUAGAAAAACAAUAAAAAACGAGGUAAAAUUUCGUUGCAUAGGCACUUUAAUUAUAAAGAGCAAUUUUUUCCACCAAAAUACGACACAAGGUAUAUAUAAUCGCAGUACCUGACUAGUAUACUCCAAAACUGAAUUACUGCCGCGUAUACUUAAGCAGUUAUACAAAUUUUAAGACUCAAUGUGUAUUUAAGACGGCAUGUCGGAUCUCCACACCAAUAUCUACAGUACUUAUGCAUCACUGCGGUUCUGAAUUCAUUGGGCUUGGAAAAAGACUUACCUGAAAAGAAGAAAUGAGAUUGGCGUACCUACGGGGUGGGGGCUUAUGGAUAUAUUGCUUAAAAUCAUCCAUACUACAAGUUGACAUUGAAAUUUUAGGUCAGUCUUAUAGGGCCUGUUUAUAUGGAGGCGAGUUACCCGACAAGGCGAGUUACUCGCCCAGGCGGGACAAUCAAGCGCUCUGUUUAUAUGGAAUUGCUGCAUGUUUGCCGCAAGACGCCGGAAUGGCGCCAACAAACACAAAAAGGAUUUAAGUCGUUUGAAACGUAAAAAAACACUAGUUACAAAAUGUCGUCAAAAUACAAGAAUAAGCGCCGAGAAAUUCAGGAAAACUUAUCUAUCAAUUCGCAUGUAUUUUUGAGCUAUUAUAUAUUUCAAAUGCAAAAUACAUUCAAUCAAAGCACGCACAUUCUAUCUCGGGUGGCCGAAUUACCCGAGAAAAUGGUAAAAUAUUUAUCUCGCCUAGGCAAUAUCUCGCUUCUUUCUGCCGGGAACUCGCCAAAGCUAGACUUGCUCCAAGUCUCUCUUUCAUUGUCAUAUCGAUCCACUAUAGUGUACAUUACAUGACGUAGUACGGAGGGGCGGAGCGAGAAAAAGAGACUUGUCAACUUCGGAAAAUCUCUGUUCAAAACUGAACCGAAAAUGCAAGACUUGCUUUAAUUGUUUUCUGUCAGUGUUUAUAUGUAUUGAUCUAGCACAGUGUAAAUAACAUGAGUUCCAUUAUCGUAAAUAAUACAGAAAGAAAUUGAAGGAAAACAAUUAAAGCAAUUGGCUUGCAUUUUCGGUUCAGUUUUGAACCGAGAUUUUCCGAAGUUGACAAGUCUCUCUUUCUCGCUCCGCCUCUCCGUACUACGUCAUGUAAUGUACACUAUAAUGGAUCGAUACUAUAUGACAAUGAAAGAGAGACUUGGCGCAAGU